AGAGUUUGAUCAUGGCUCAGAACGAACGCUGGCGGCGUGGAUAAGACAUGCAAGUUGAACGCGACAUUUACUGUAGCAAUACAGUGGAUGUUGAGUAGCGCAAGGGUGCGUAACACGUGGGUAAUUUACCGUGAAGUUGGGGAUAACUCGCUGAAAGGCGAGCUAAUACCGGAUGUGGUUAUUGGAAGGCAUCUUCUGAUAACUAAAGGUGGGGACCGCAAGGCCUGCCGCUUCACGAUAAGCCCGCGGCCUAUCAGCUAGUUGGUGAGGUAACGGCUCACCAAGGCUAAGACGGGUAGCUGGUCUGAGAGGACGACCAGCCACACUGGAACUGAGACACGGUCCAGACACCUACGGGUGGCAGCAGUCGAGAAUUUUUCUCAAUGGGCGAAAGCCUGAAGGAGCGACGCCGCGUGGGGGAUGAAGGGUUUCGAUCCGUAAACCCCUGUCAUUUGUGAACAAUGGUUAUUAUUUAAAAGAUGAUGACUUGAUAGUAAUGAAAGAGGAAGGGACGGCUAACUCUGUGCCAGCAGCCGCGGUAAUACAGAGGUCCCGAGCGUUGUUCGGAUUCACUGGGGCGUAAAGGGUGCGUA
rnacentral:rRNA from 1 species